rnacentral:rRNA from 1 species
UGCCAGUCGAACGACCCGGACUAUGGCGGGGAGUGGCAGACUGCUCAGUAACACGUAGCUAACCUACCCUCGGGACGGGGAUAACCCCGGGAAACUGGGGCUAAUACCCGAUAGGUAUGGAUUCCUGGAAUGGUGCCAUGCCUAAACGUAAGCACAUCCAUGUUUGUGUGCACGCCCGAGGAUGGGGCUGCGGCCGAUCAGGCAGUUGGUGAGGUAACGGCUCACCAAACCUUUGACCGGUACGGGCCAUGAGAGUGGUAGCCCGGAGAUGGGCACUGAGACAAGGGCCCAGGCCCUACGGGGCGCAGCAGGCGCGAAACCUCCACAAUUCACGCAAGUGAGAUGGGGUUACCUCGAGUGCCAUCUGAAGAAGGCGGCUUUUCCAUUGUGUAAUGAGCCGUGGGAAUAAGGGGGGGGCAAGACUGGUGUCAGCCGCCGCGGUAACACCAGCCCCCCGAGUGGUGGGGAUGUUUAUUUGGCCUAAAACGUCCGUAGCCAGCUAGGUAAAUCUCUCGUUAAAUCCAGCGUCCUAAGCGUUGGGCUGCGAGAGAGACUGCCAAGCUAGAGGGUGGGAGAGGUCAGCGGUAUUUCUGGGGUAGGGGCGAAAUCCAUUGAUCCCAGGAGGACCACCAGUGGCGAAGGCUGCUGACUAGAACACGCCUGACGGUGAGGGACGAAAGCUGGGGUAGCGAAUCGGAUUAGAUACCCGAGUAGUCCCAGCCGUAAACGAUGCAGGCUAGGUGUUGGGUUGGCCACGUGCCGACUCAGUGCCACAGGGAAGCCAUUAAGCCUGCUGCCU